rnacentral:rRNA from 1 species
UAUCAAUAAGCGGAGGAAAAGAAACCAACAGGGAUUGCCUCAGUAACGGCGAGUGAAGCGGCAACAGCUCAAAUUUGAAAUCUGGCGUCCGCCCGAGUUGUAAUUUGCAGAGGAUGCUUCGGGGCCGCGGCCGAUCUAAGUCCUUUGGAACAGGGCGUCAUAGAGGGUGAGAAUCCCGUAUGUGACCGGCUGGCACCCCACACGUAGCUCCUUCGACGAGUCGAGUUGUUUGGGAAUGCAGCUCUAAAUGGGAGGUAAAUUUCUUCUAAAGCUAAAUACCGGCCAGAGACCGAUAGCGCACAAGUAGAGUGAUCGAAAGAUGAAAAGCACUUUGGAAAGAGAGUCAAACAGCACGUGAAAUUGUUGAAAGGGAAGCGCAUGCAACCAGACUUGUCGGCGGUGUUCCCCCGGUCUUCUGACCGGGUCACUCGCCGCCGGCAGGCCAGCAUCGUUUGCGACCGCCGGAGAAAGGCGCGGGGAAUGUAGCUCCUCGGAGUGUUAUAGCCCCGCGCACAAUACGGUGCGUCGCGAGCGAGGUCCGCGCUUCGGCUAGGAUGCUGGCGUAAUGGUCGUAUGCGGCCCGUCUUGAAACACGG